GCAUCAUCCGGGCCGAAGGCCGGGCCUGCAGGCUCUGGUCCAGCACGGACUUGUCGAUCUUGACGAUGUUGGCGCGC
rnacentral:tRNA from 2 species